UACAAACUUCUAGGACAGAAAGACAUUCAGAGUCUUUCCAGGGUUUCCUAGCGACCAUCUGAGGGGACAGAGCAGGUGACCGACCUUUGCUCUGGGGAGGACUGGUCACUGCAGGGUGGGAGCCGAGAGGGCAGGAAGCUGGCGUCUCCGGGGCUUCCCGGAGCCCACACAGUUCCCAGUGACAGCGCCUCCUGCUCGGCUGUGACAUUAACCAGAGGAGCUGGGUGAGGCGUGCAUGUGUCACCGCCUGAAACUGCUUGGCAGUUUACUUCUGGGAUUUAAUUUUUUCUUUCUCAACUACUUUGUAACUGAUUUCACCUUUCGCCUCCCUUCCCUGCCAGUCACUGCUCUUUUUUGGGAAUCAUUUCAGGAACGAGAUGGGGGUGGUUUUCUGCAAAAGUGUUUGCCACAGUUUUCUUCCACUCUGAAGAAAAGGUGAAUCUUUUCACCGCCUGGCUAUUAUUCCUUCCCUUUCUCGGUUCUUGUUCUGCUUCUUGCAGGCGUUUUCUGCUCCUUCUUCUCCUUCUCCUCCUCCUCCUCUUCCUCUUCCUCUUCCCCCUUUUCUUUUAUUAAGCAUAGGAAAAUUUACUGGGGAGAAGGACUAGGGAUAGAGGUACUGCUGAGACUGGAGGGUCCCAGAUGGCUUGCCCCUUCCUUCCGUUUCUGCUCUGUUCUCAUUUUUGUUGUAUUUUACGUUUCAGUUCAGCCACUUGUGUGAGGAGUGGGUACAAGGGUCCCUGCCACAGACACACAAUGCACUGUGACGCUGGUGUCUGAAAACAUCAGGCCGCUUAACUGCACUGAAAUGAAGAGCGGACUUGGCCUUGCCUGGGCUGCCGGCCUGGGCCACAGCAGCCUUUCUGAAGCCCCGAGGUUCCCGUGCAGUGUGGCAGUCAGAUGGUGCCCAGCUCUGUCCCCAUUCUGCCUCCUGAGACUGUCGUGUGCAGAGACUGUCUUGUAAAGAGAUCAACGUGCCACCAUGCCACCAGAAGGAGUUUGUUAGCCAGCACUGGCAAACGUGCUUGCUUCCAUCUCCUGUGGACCUCAUAGGUGCAGAUCUGGAGAAAAUUGAGCGUGUACCAGAAAUGGCUUUCACUGUUGAAAACGUCCCCUUCGCAUUUUGGUUAGUCUUUUUUAGUUAAAAAGGAAUGUUUAAUCGUGGUUGGUUACUACACAGGUCCAUAGCCUGGAGGCUCCCGUUGGACUCCUCAUCGCUGUGUAACCCGGCAGCUCUGGUGGACACUCCGAAUCUCUUUCCUCUUCCUCUGUCCAGUGGGGAGGAGCUGCUGGUGCACUGCGGGCCAGAGCCCCGGGAGCAAUCUACUUCCAGCUCGAGAGCACAGCCAGGGGGCUCACCUGAGCGCCAUGUUAUUCAUUUCCUCCCAUGUGGCUGCAUCAGUCUACACUCCCACCAACAGUGGAGAAGGGUCCUACUGCCUUGUCAGCAUUUGUUAUGGGCUGGUUUCUUGAUGGCAGCUAAUCUUUCUGGAGUGAUAUGGAAUCUCAAUGUUGUUUUAAUUCUGGAAUGACCAGUGAUGGUACUGCCACUAAUGCUGCCACCAGUAUUGUUCCACAUUUAUUUCUCUGUGUGAUAAGACACCUGGACAGUUGGCUGAUGAAGGGAAGGUGGAAAGGGGCAGGAUGAAGGUGACACAAAGGUUCCCUGACGGUUUUGCAGUGUACAACUGUGCAACUGCGCGUGCCUGUCUCUGAGGCUACCUUUCCUUCUUUGUCCCUUUUCUUAUCUUUAUCCUGUGGUGUAGUCAGGGGUUCUAAGGAGAAUAAUUAGAAUCAGGACACAGAAAUUACAUCAUUAUUUUAUGAUGGUCACACAGAGUUUAACACAAGAAAGUGCAGGAAAACUGUCCACAACACCAAAGACCCGGAAUAUUCAGCCAAAGGCCUGAAUCCCACAGCAAUGUCCUGCAUGAGUCCAGAUGGAAACCUAGAGCCCAUGAUAAUGCCUCCCAGGAGUCCAACUGGAGGUCUAGAGCCCUCGAGAAGGACUCACACCAGUCUGUUUUAUGGAUCCGUGCUGGGACCCAAAGGUCAGUAGUGGAAGCUAGAAAGUCUAUGAACUGGACACUGGAGCCGAGAAGUCACACUCAAAACAGACCAGGGCUGUCCUGAAAAGCACCACAGCCAUCCUCAGUAACACGGAGGCCCCGAGCUCCUCCGAUGAUAAGCACAGUCAAGUGUAUGUCAGGAAGCCAGUGUGAGGCGUUCAUCCUGGAGAGUAAGCAGCACACGUCUUUCCCUCUGGAGCCGGGAAGCAAUACUUGAUGUAAGGACCAGAGCUCCCCGAAAAGUGAAGCAUAGCCACCCUCACCAACAAGAUCCGAGCUUCUCUGAUGACAAUGGUCAAACUCACACUGGCGAAGGUAGGCAUGACGAGCUCCUCCAGAACCAACAGCUCACACAGCAACGUUUAGAGAAACCCACAAUGCUUAGCCUCUCCUUCUCCACAUCUCUGUUUGUGCUGGCAACUUUCCCCAGGUGGAGCAUCUAUGCCCAGUGCCAUUCUGAUUUAAUUCAGCUGGUGUUAAGCUGACCACCAGUUUCUAAUCCAUAACAUCCUGAAAUGACCGGACCUCAUCCAAUUUUCACUGCGAAGGGAAAAUCCAGGGAAGACAGCAUCUCUGUCCUCAUUAAUGCUUACCUGGUGUCCAUCCCCAUGCUGGGGGUUUCGCUGGACCCCAGGCUGUCCUGGACUUCCCUGAAGCACCGUGCCUAUCGCCUGUCUGUAGUGCCAACUUUCAGUAGUCCUUGGGGGAAUUUUACUUCCUUUAGGCCUGGCAUGGUGCCGUCCUCAAGUUGUACAGAGCCCUUGACAUUUGUGUUCUUUAGCACCGCCUAAAAAUACUGAUCUUCCUUGAUCUGAGAGUAGCUCAACAUUUGCACCUUUUAUUUCCGUUACUGCUAAUCCACUUAUGCCAGAUUUCAGUACACACCCCACUCAAAGGUCACCUUCCUUGAAUUGUGGGGUAAUAGAUUUGGAAGAUUCUCCAUAUUCUUUUCUGCCCUCUAAGUGCUAGGAAACAUUCAUUUGAACAGACUCCUUCAUCUCCCGCCUCCCGUCAGCCCCCUGCAGGACAGUCACUGAGAAUCAGGGCACAGAGGCUAGGGGUGAGGUCCAGCAGAGUGGCAGGGCUGUCCCCCAUGUCUCCAGCACAAGUGAGACCAAGGCAGCCUGGGAUUCUGUUUGUCUUAGUACCAGGACCUAGAAUCAGCCUCUUGGCUGCGUCCUAGACGGUGAACAGCUUGGGAUUUUGGAGUCCCCGCUUGUGGGAAACCCUGUAAGUGGCUGCCACCUUAUUCUAUCUGCAGGCAGCAUCACCUUAACCCCUUCUAGGAGUUCAGUGUGAAGGUUAAGCAGCUCCUUGCCUAGCCUGUUUGGCCCAUUCAAGGAUUGGCGGGAAACUGAAAAUUAGAAUGAACCUAUAACCCUCAGCCUUGCCACUGUUGCUAAGUUACCUGCUGAUGUCUCAGAACCCAACUCCCUCCUCCCCCAAUACCCUAUAUAUUUGUUACUCUUUCUUUGAAUAAACGAGACGUGAUCAGAA